rnacentral:rRNA from 1 species
GCGAACCUGCGAAGGCAAGCGGAUCUCUUAAGCCGUUCUCAGUUCGGACUGUAGGCUGCAACUCGCCUACACGAAGCUGGAAUCGCUAGUAAUCGCGGAUCAGCACGCCGCGGUGAAUACGUUCCCGGGCCUUGUACACACCGCCCGUCACACCAUGAGAGUCUGUAACACCCAAAGCCGGUGGGAUAACCUUUAUAGGAGUCAGCCGUCUAAGGUAGGACAGAUGAUUAGGGUGAAGUCGUAACAAGGUAUC